rnacentral:rRNA from 1 species
GGAAUCUUCCACAAUGGACGAAAGUCUGAUGGAGCAACGCCGCGUGAGUGUAGAAGGGUUUCGGCUCGUAAAACUCUGUUGUUAAAGAAGAACAUAUCUGAGAGUAACUGUUCAGGUAUUGACGGUAUUUAACCAGAAAGCCACGGCCAACUACGNGCCAG